CUGGGUGUAGUGUCAGUCAGCUAGACGGCCUGCUUUGGAAGCAGGAGGCCGCUGGAUCGAAGCCAGCCACCCAGACCA
rnacentral:tRNA from 1 species